rnacentral:rRNA from 1 species
CACCAAGGAAUUAAGUCAUAUAUUUUAUGGUAAAAAGACAGUUAGAUAUCUAGUUUUUAAGGUUUAUUUAAUGCUUUGCAUAGAAGUAAAAUUUAAGUGUAAUUGUAAAAUUUAUUAAUAGCUUGUAGAUUGAAUCUGUGAAAUCCUUAAGGGAAACUGGGAUUAGGUACCCCAUUAUUUCUGGGUAUAAAUUUAAUGGAAGUUUACCAGAGUACUAUGAAUAUUAAGAAUUUAAAACUCAAAGAACUUGGCGGUGUUUUAGACCACUUAGGGGAACCUGUCUCAUAAUCGAUAAUCCACGAUAUACCUGACCUUUUUUUGUUUUCAGUUUGUAUACCGUUGUCGUCAGGUAACUUUUUAGAAAUUAAGAGUUAGCAACAGAAGUUAUAAAUAAUUCGGUACGUCAAAUCAAGGUGCAGCUAAUAGAAAGGGGAGGAUGGGUUACAAUUAUAUGAAUUAUAAUAACGGAUAGAUAUAUGAAAUCUGUAUUAAUUAUAAGGCGGACUUAAAAGUAAAUUAGAGUAUGUAAAUAAUUUGAAUAGGGCUCUGAAACGUGU